UGAGUGCCAAAUUACCAAUCCUCGAUACCCGUCCGGUAUGAGGUAACGUUCACGGUAGGAUUUCUUAUGUACACGGUCCGUCCACCAUCUCCUAAGAUAUCCAGUAAUGUUGUCGUUCAUUCAUCCACUUAAUCAAAUAAUUUCAUGUUUAUCUUUAAUUUUUAGUUUCCCAAUUUAAUCGUAAUAACAUAAAACAAACAAUACAUGCAUCAAGGAAACACAAUCACAUCAUCAUACCAAUUCCAGU
rnacentral:lncRNA from 1 species